AAACCUCAACCUCCCCGGUUUCUUCUGGACACCGAAGGAGGCUUGGACUUUGGAGGCCUUUGCUGGUGUCUCUCUUUUGAAACCCAGCUCCUCUUAAAUGAAUUAGCGGGGUCCUCAUUGCCGAUCCUUGACGUGUGAUAAGAUGUUUCCAUGUCUUGGUUUCUGGCUCUGUUGCCUUUGGGACCUGCUUCUAACCGUCUCAACCUCACAUCGAGACAACGUUUGAGCGUGUCUCCCUUUUCGGGAAACUCUCUCAACCCCACGAAC
rnacentral:misc_RNA from 1 species